CGAGAGGACCUGGGGAACGCCGGUACGCUUCGGCGUACGGGAGGAAAGUCCGAGCUCCACAGGGCACGGUGCCGGGUAACGCCCGGUCGGGGUGACCCGGAGGAAAGCGCAACAGAGAGCAGCACGCCAGGCCCUCGGGCCUCCCGGCAGACCCGGAGCCACCCGCGUUCUCGCGGCACGGCCACCGGAGAGCACCGGGGACGACAGUCGGUAAGCGUUGAAACGGUGCGGUAAGAGCGCACCGGCGACCCUGGUGACAGGGUCGGCCAGGUAAACCCCACCAGGAGCAAGACCAGACGUGGAGCGUUCGAGGGCGGCCCGCCCGAGCUCCCGGGUAGGUCGCUCGAGGCCGUCGGCGACGGCGGCCCUAGAUGAAUGUUCUCCGCCCCGAAGCGGGUGACCGCCAGGGGAACAGAACUCGGCUUAUGGGCCUCUCGAACC
rnacentral:RNase_P_RNA from 1 species